rnacentral:rRNA from 1 species
AUUGAACGCUGGCGGAAUGCUUUACACAUGCAAGUCGAACGGUAGAGGGGGCAACCCCUUGAGAGUGGCGAACGGGUGAGUAAUAUAUCGGAACGUGCCCAGUCGUGGGGAUAACGUAGCGAAAGCUACGCUAAUACCGCAUACGAUCUAUGGAUGAAAGCGGGGGAUCGCAAGACCUCGCGCGAUUGGAGCGGCCGAUAUCAGAUUAGGUAGUUGGUGAGGUAAAGGCUCACCGAGCCGACGAUCUGUAGCUGGUCUGAGAGGACGACCAGCCACACUGGGACUGAGACACGGCCCAGACUCCUACGGGAGGCAGCAGUGGGGAAUUUUUGGGACAAUGGGCGCAAGCCUGAUCCAGCAAUGCCGCGUGCAGGAUGAAGGCCUUCGGUUGUAAC